rnacentral:rRNA from 1 species
AGCGAACGCUGGCGGCAGGCCUAACACAUGCAAGUCGAACGAAGCCUUCGGGCUUAGUGGCGGACGGGUGAGUAACACGUGGGAACGUACCUUUUGGUUCGGAACAACUCAGGGAAACUUGAGCUAAUACCGGAUGAGCCCUUAGGGGGAAAGAUUUAUCGCCGAAAGAGCGGCCCGCGUUAGAUUAGCUAGUUGGUGAGGUAAAGGCUCACCAAGGCGACGAUCUAUAGCUGGUCUGAGAGGAUGAUCAGCCACACUGGGACUGAGACGCGGCCCAGACUCCUACGGGAGGCAGCAGUGGGGAAUCUUGCGCAAUGGGCGAAAGCCUGACGCAGCCAUGCCGCGUGAAUGAUGAAGGUCUUAGGAUUGUAAAAUUCUUUUACCAGGGACGAUAAUGACGGUACCUGGAGAAAAAGCCCCGGCUAACUUCGUGCCAGCCGCCGCCGUAAAAC